CAAUGCGAGCAAUCGUGACCAGGGAACUCCAAGUGGCUGGGGUAAUACCCAGUUUUUUCUUGACUCUUCAAAGGUCUUGGAAUAAGGGGUGGGUAAGGACGGUGCCAGCCGCCGCGGUAAUACCGGCGCCUCAAGUGGUAGUCGCUUUUAUUGGGCCUAAAACGUCCGUAGCCGGUCUGGUGCAUUCGUGGGUAAAUCAACCCGCUCAACGGGUUGAAUUCUGCGAGCACGGCCAGACUUGGGACCGGGAGAGGUGUGGGGUACUCUCAGGGUAGGGGUAAAAUCCUGUCAUCCUGAGAGGACCACCUGUUGCGAAGGCGCCACACUAGAACGGAUUCGACGGUCAGGGACGAAACCUAGGGGCACGAACCGGAUUAGAUACCCGGGUAGUCCUAGGUGUAAACGCUGUGGACUUGAUGUUGGGGGUGCUCCGAGCACUCUCAGUGUCGAAGCGAAGGUGAUAAGUCCACUGCCUGGGGAGUACGGUCGCAAGGCUGAAACUUAAAGGAAUUGGCGGGGGAGCACUGCAACCUGAGGAUUGUGCGGUUUAAUUGGACUCAACGCCGGGA
rnacentral:rRNA from 1 species